CCUACGGGGGGCAGCAGUAGGGAAUUUUCGGCAAUGGGGGGAACCCUGACCGAGCAACGCCGCGUGAACGAAGAAGUUAUUCGUAAUGUAAAGUUCUUUUAACAGGGAAGAAAGAGAAAUUUGACGGUACCUGAAGAAUAAGCUCCGGCUAACUACGUGCCAGCAGCCGCGGUAAUACGGAGGAUGCGAGCGUUAUCCGGAUUUAUUGGGUUUAAAGGGUGCGUAGGCGGAUCGUUAAGUCAGUGGUCAAAUUGAGGGGCUCAACCCCUUCCCGCCAUUGAAACUGGCGUUCUUGAGUGGAAGAGAAGUAUGCGGAAUGCGUGGUGUAGCGGUGAAAUGCAUAGAUAUCACGCAGAACCCCGAUUGCGAAGGCAGCAUGCCGGCUUCCGACUGACGCUGAAGCACGAAAGCGUGGGGAUCGAACAGGAUUAGAUACCCGAGUAGUC
rnacentral:rRNA from 1 species